rnacentral:lncRNA from 1 species
GCUCUGCUCUUCCGGGCAUGGCGCUACUCUGCUGUCCGGUGGUGGAUGUAGGCGUGAGGACGCUUGUCUCACGAAGCUCGUAGUAGAUAACUGCUUAAUAUUCAGCUCUGUAAGUUCCUGUGCCGUCUACUUUUAUGUCAACUGAACACAAGCUUCUGAGAGGAGGAGUCAACUGAGAAAAUGCCUCUAUAAGAUCAGGCUGCAGACCGAGGGCCGGACCCCCGGCCAGGGACUGCUGCAAGCGCUCCUUCACAGCUACCAGCUUGAGCUCCAGGUCGAUCCUCUGCUCUUCCUUGGCACGGCAUUGAGCUUCCAGAGUGGCCACGGCCUCUUCCAAGGCCUUCGACUUUGCUCCUGAGUCCAGAGACACGGAUGAGAAAGUCUGCGGGGCUAAAGGCCCCACUCCACCCCCCCCCCCCGCCCCUUGCUGGAGUGUCCAGAAGGACUGGGUGAAGGCUUGUACUGCAGCCACUAUGUCACCACAAAGAGAAAGAGAAUAAAGUCACAUUUCUCUGUACUUCACUA